UACGUAGGGUCCGAGCGUUGUCCGGAAUUACUGGGCGUAAAGCGUGCGCAGGCGGUUCGCCAAGUCAGGUGUGAAAUCCCCGGGCUUAACCUGGGAAUUGCGCUUGAAACUAGCGGGCUUGAGUGUGGCAGAGGGGGGUGGAAUUCCACGUGUAGCGGUGAAAUGCGUAGAGAUGUGGAGGAAUACCGAUGGCGAAGGCAGCCCCCUGGGAUAACACUGACGCUCAUGCACGAAAGCGUGGGGAGCAAACAGG
rnacentral:rRNA from 1 species